AUGUACAGUAAACACAGGCAGAAAAAUGCCCAAUUAUCACCCGCAAAAUAUGGACGUUUGUUCGUUUUCCUUUAUUUUCUGCUCCUGAACGGCACUCUGGACAAAGCCAGCGGGAACACCGGAGAACAAGGGUUGCGGGGGGGAAGGACCGUGACGGCACGGUGGCUCUCGCAAAGCCGAAGCAGGAGGGAUGCUACAACCUGGACACAGGAGGAGAACCCAGUCAGAGGGGAAAUAGUGCUCUCAUCCAAUGACCUCCAGCUGGUGCUCCAAGUGGAACGUAAUCAUGAGCUGUUGGGUCCCGACUUCACAGAGACCUACUACACAGGAGACGGGCAGCCGGUGACUGUAGCCAACCGAAAUUACACUGUAAGUAUGAAGCAACAGGCUAAAGUAAGUCUCUAG
ensembl:lncRNA